ACCGUGACAACGCCGACGACUGUCGGGCAGAGUUGCCACUUCCCGGGAUUUUUCCUUUCUCAGACGGAACCAUGACGGAAUGUAACGCGUAGACCGUAGCGUCAUAGAUUAGAUUUGAUUCGAUUCGAUUAAAUUCUAAUCUAUGACUCUGCUGCGCCCUAGAGCCAGACAACACCACAAGGACGGGCGUGCAAGGAGCGUUGACCAAAAUUUUGUUCGUAAUUGAGGAAGUGUCUUGUAGAAUUUCGUCGAAAUUAAAAGUGCGGCUAUUUUGUUGUCCAGUUUGGUAUGGCUCAGCGAAAUCAACCUGACAACGGGCUCGGUGGAUUUGCCAAUUCCAAAUUUGUUUUGAUAAAUGGUGAUUUUUGGAACUGCAGGGAGAAGAGGAGGUAUAUUCAAGGACAAGCCUGGCUUAAUGAGUUCACAUUCAUUGUGCUCCAGUGUUACUGGCAAAUCCUUGGUUAUAUACCCGAAUACGAAUACGAGACAAAUCAGUGGGACUGUGAUGCUCAAAGCUAUGUUAAGGAAAGGAAACCUCUUAAUGAAUGUGGUUCAUUGGAAAUUUUAAAAUACAUGUUCCAAUUUGGUCAUGUAAUUAUCAAAGAACAAAGUAGAGAUCUCAAAAUAUUCCUUCGCCAGACUAGAAGGGUAAAGACACUGAGGAACACUAUGACUCACGAGGUCGGAAAAUGGACUAAUACCAGUGAUACGUUACAAGAACUCUUGAAUAAAAUGAAGAGCACGUCAGAGUGUUUGUCUAGACACAUCAAAGGUGAAUCGCUCAGUCAUGUAAAUGGCUUCAUUGAAAAAUGUGAAGAGGAGCUUGGUAGAAUGAAGGGCUACCAAGAUUUUUAUUAGCUUUCCAUUUUCCACUGAUUUUACUGUUUUGGCUUGAAGAACAGGAAUUGGUAAUAAAAUUGGUUUGGAAAAUUUUUUAAAUUCUUUUUUUUCAGUUACUUCCAGUCAUGUUCUUGUUUUUCAAUUAAAUUAAAACAAUGUAGAUCAUGAUUACCAUCAUCGUAUUUAAAAUUGACAUCAGCAUUUCUACGUACUCUCUGGAAUUCAGUUUUAAUGUCGCCAAUGGGAAAUCCUUGUUUAUAUCUGUUCAAUUAAUUUCGACUAACGAGUAUUCUUUUAAUAGAACAAAUUGGAGAGAUACAUCUGAUUUUCGUCGGCAUUUAAGAAAAAUUGAUCGAGACGAACAGGCUAUUCACCGUUGCGCUAAAUUCAUUGUGUAAAAUAUUUUAUAAAUUCGGGGUGUGGUUACGAGAAGCAUGAAACAGGAAAGGAGAAAGACCACCCUUGUGAGCCCCCUGAAGAAAAUGUUGGUACCAUGAUGUGACUUACCUUAGGCUAUGGAUGCAGUGUUCUGUCGAAUAAGGGAAAACUUGAUUCGUUUUGUAAACGAAUACGAAUAAGCACUAACCUGGUUAGCUACUCUCCUGCAUCUAGUAGCAGAAAAAGGUGUACUAACAAUCAUCGUAUGAAAAUUUGGCCCGACCCGUGCCUCCUCCUUUCCACCUUAAUGCAAGAAGGAACGAUGAAAACUCCAAAUUUGUCAAACAAACGAUAAUCGAUUAUUUGGCUCGUUCUACACAAAGCACGCUAGAUGGCAUGGUAUUCUUGGGAGUAUAACAAAAUAACAAUCUGGCAUCACAGGAGGCUGCUCAAUCUUUCAAGAUUCCUUCUCACGGACAUCAGACGAAAGAAACAAAUGCAACGAUCCGUGAAUGCUGCAGUGAGAAACAGUAAAGCAGCGUCGCCAUUGGUCGAGCUUUGGCGGUCAAGCAUGGCGGUCGAAAGAAGAAGAAGAAAAGGUUUUGAAUUUCAUACAUUAGUACUGUAAAAUUCUUGUUGUAAAAAAAAAAAAAAAAUAGGUAAAAGAAAACGAGCAUUCAUUUGUGCAGUAGCCGGUAGUCGCUAAAAUGUGAAAGACAUUGAAACCUGUCAACCAUUAGCAGUGUGUGUAAACUACACGAGAGUCGGAUGGAGGGAAAUUUCAGAAAGAAGAUGGGCGGAGCUAAAAACUGGCUCGCGCUCGCCUCGAGGGCCUUCUUCAGUCGCGUCGAGGUCUCCAUGACGACUGGAGGUUUCUGAAACAUUUCUCCCCUUCUCGUUCUAACAAACACUUGCCAGUGUAAAGUGAGCCUUGAAACCGAAGUGAAACACACUAAAAAAACACCCGAGUGUUGUCUGGAAACUAAGGUUUUUCUAACGUGAGGAUUACAUCGAAGCCCAUCAAGUUGAUUGCCAUCAACCAACGUUUCACACACACACACACACCAGGUUCACCGGUCGGCCAUGACAGUCGACGCCGGACGCCGACUCUUAUUGCUCAGCGUCUUCCUGUGGCUGGGUCAUCGAGACUGUCGAGCUCUUGUGCCCAGCAGCCCAACAACAGAUCAACAUGUUCAAAUUGUGCUGUUACAUCGGAGAGGGUUGGAUUGCGAUGCCGACAGCAAUAAAAUUGGCAACAGCGUGAGCAUGUCAGCAAGUCAACGAGAAACGGCCGCGCGAUGGGCAUCCGAAAUCCUCAACAACCAAACGAAACCUCAUCUCUUCUCCAUAGAUGUGGAAGUGAUGGACACGUGCGGCAGCGUCCAAGCGACGGCCAAACGGUCGCUACAAGUCGUCAGGCAAAUUAAAAGCAGCGGAACGGCCGUGCUGGGCGUCAUCGCCUUGGAGGAGGCGGACGUCCUUGCCGAAGCGGCUCGUGUCCUUCGACGUCACAACAUUCCAUUGGUGGUAGCCACACCUAGAGCCGCUGAAAGUGAAGCUGCUUCUCUACUCCUCUACGCUCCAGACGAUCCGGCCGUUUUUACCCAACCGGACAACGUCUUUUCAGCCGUACCCAAUACCGCCGCUGUCGCCAGGGCGACGAUGGCAGUGGCCAAGGGAAUACAGAGCCAAUCCAUCCGCAUUUUGGGGACGUGUUGGCGGACGAUCCGGAUGGCGGAACGAGCCGCUCGCCAUUUGAAUAUCAGAGUGAUAUCCGCUGAGCAUUUGGUCGGCGACUAUUCCGGUAGUCCGACAGCCUACAUCGCCAAUCUGACGACGCAUCAACACGUGCUGGAACAACAAGAAGGUGUCAGGGUGGCUUUGCUGAUGGAACCCGAUGAACUGGCCGACUUUAUGAACCAGGCCGUCAGAAUAUCUAGCGGGAGGAAAAUCACUUGGCUUCUUGGAUGUGUGGCGGGUGUUGUCAGUCCGCAAAUCGCAGCUCAAUGGGCGCUCGAUCUGUCCAGCAGCGCAUUUCUUGUCGAACCCCAUUUACUGGAACUGGCCGGAUUAGCCGAUUAUAUGCGACUUCAUGGUGUUAUUCACCAUCCGCUCGAUAACGAGAUUCCGCAUAUCGUUCAAGCCGUUUCGGCUCUCGGCGCUGCGUUCCACUUGCAGGAAUUGUCCAGUUGUGUUCAACAGCAGUCGGCUAACGGCACUAACGAUGAGAACAACAGCACCAGUGAGUUCGACUGCAGUCCGGCGUUUGCUGCGGAUCCUUCGCGAGUUCCCAGUCAAAUGUUGACGGCCCUACGCCAAUUGAGUAUGCCCGCCACAUCAAAUGCAAGAGGUCCAGCUGAACUGGAAGGCACGUCCAACCAUUUUACGCCGUCCGGCCGACUUGUAGCCAACCGUUACCUCAUCCAGAAAUUGAUGGCCGGCUCUGGUGAAAGUUCACCGGUCGCCUGGUACUCUGACGACGACGGUCUCGUCUUAGCCGCCAUCAUGACGUCACAAUCCCGUUUCGACUUUUUUGGCCACGUCUCUUCCGUCCCUCUUUUAACGUCCGUCCCUCCUUUUGUCAUCGACGAACGGACGAUUGAUUACAACAACAACAACAUUAAAGUCGAAGGCACGGAAGAUCCCGAACAAGAAGCGACUGGACUUUUCCUCGAUGACGUUAAUAAUCUCAUCACAGCCAGUCCGUCAUCUCGUCCGCUUUUCCUUUUCGUUCAAGGACGGACUUGGGCGGCUUCCAUAUUGGCCGUCUCUGCCACUGAAUUGCUGGCCGCUUUCUACAUCCUCGUUGUUCUUAUUUCACGCAUGUGCGGAACCGAUCGCACCACCAGCGUCCGGCUGUCGAGCACUCAGACCAUGUCGCUUCUUCUUUUGUUGGCCGUCAUGGCUCAGUUGACGAGCGUGGCCCUCUUUGUUCUACCCGGACUGGCUACUCAUUUGAAAUUCUUUCUUCCCCCGUUAUUCCUCGUUGCCGGUUACGCUCUUCUUCUGGCCAAGCUCUUCCAGUUCCGACAUUUGGCCUCUGCCGGAUUAGGCGGAUCUGUCCCUCAAUGUCCCCUCUACGUGGCCGUUUUGCUGGCCCUAGCCGUUCAAGCGGCUGUCAGUGCUCAUUUCUAUACUCAACAGGAACAGCAGCGCCAAAUGUUGACAACGAUCAACGACAACAACGAUUUACCUUUGCUCUACCUUUUCCUGAUGGUGCUGGUGACCAUCACGGCCCUGUACGCGUCCAGCUUGAAACACAUCCGCCAACAGCAUCGAGAAGCUCAACUGAUUCUCAUCGCCACGUUGACGUCAGCCGCUUUGAUGAUGGGCUGGACGCUGGUCGUCACGAUGGCCGAUGAAGAAUAUCGCGAUGCUGCAACAGCUGGAUUGAUGGUCCUCUUGGCCGCCUCCGUCCUCGGUUCCAUCUUUAUCCCGCGAGUGGUGCAGUUGAGUCGGCAAAGGAGACAACUGUCUAUCAAGUCGACUUACGCUUGCAAUAUUUCAAUGGCUUCCGGAAUACCCACCAGUCCGUGGCUGGAUUACAAUUUCACCAGUGCAAAGGACAAGCAAAUGUUACAGCAAAAUUACAGCUCGAACAACUGCAGCAGCAGUAAUUGUACUAAUAGUUAUAGUAGUUAUAAGAAUCAGAGUAGCGAUAAUAACAAAAACUUAAUGAAUGAUGUAAAACUAUCUGGCAGUGGACUUAUGAGGCAUCCACAGUACUCUGGACGCCAUUAAAAUGAAAAAUAAAAAACGCCAGACAAGCCCCCCCAACCCAAAAAAUCAACCAUGCAUUAAAUAUCGAUCGUUUUUUUUUUUCACGUUUUUUUUUUAAAUUAAAAUUAUAAUUUUUUUUUGUUUCUCGUCCACCAGCAAAACAAAUCUAUUCUUGUCAUUUAAUUAAAACCCCACUUAUUUUUUUUCCUCGCCUCGGUUAUUUACAAAUGUAUUUUUCGUGUUUGUGUUUACUCAAGGUCUCUUUUUUUAACGACGACAAUUCAAUAAUAAAUGGUAGGACGUUUCAAAUAUCGUUCUACGCUUUCACUAAUGAUGAAAGUCUUAUUGGACAUGUUUUAAGGCAUUUUCGUGCGUUUUAUUCGGGAGGAAAUGCAAAACUUGCAAUUCUUAAAUUUAAAAUGUGUUGCUUGUUUUUACCGCUAGAUGGCUGUUUUGUUGUUUGCUUAACUGGAUUGGGCCGAAGCACCACGUUUUGAAAGCAAAGUUUUAUAUUUAUUCUAGAGAAAAUCUCCGGAUACGAAUGUUGUGCUGCACAGUUUUAUUAUUUUUUCCAUUGAUUUACUGCAAAUUUUUUACUAAAUUGAAGGUUAGAAAAUAUUUGCCAGUUUAAUUAAAUCCGACAAAUUUGCAUUUGAGCUACAAAUGCCAUCGGCUGUACACCGUGACUUGCCAUCAGAUUUCUCAGCCAAUUCAUUUUAAGGCGACAGUCAUUGUUAGUGAAAAUGUUGGUGAUUAAGUUAACAGGUGUCACUUGGUGCCUGAUGGCUAAACAAUGAAGAAUUGAGAGAAAAAUGAGUGUUUUAAAACACAGUAUGAGGCUGG